rnacentral:rRNA from 1 species
GACGAACGCUGGCGGCGUGCUUAACACAUGCAAGUCGAACGAAGAGCGAUGGAAGCUUGCUUCUAUCAAUCUUAGUGGCGAACGGGUGAGUAACGCGUAAUCAACCUGCCCUUCAGAGGGGGACAACAGUUGGAAACGACUGCUAAUACCGCAUACGAUCUAAUCUCGGCAUCGAGGAUAGAUGAAAGGUGGCCUCUACAUGUAAGCUAUCACUGAAGGAGGGGAUUGCGUCUGAUUAGCUAGUUGGAGGGGUAACGGCCCACCAAGGCGAUGAUCAGUAGCCGGUCUGAGGGGAUGAACGGCCACAUUGGGACUGAGACACGGCCCAGACUCCUACGGGAGGCAGCAGUGGGGAAUCUUCCGCAAUGGACGAAAGUCUGACGGAGCAACGCCGCGUGAGUGAUGACGGCCUUCGGGUUGUAAAGCUCUGUUAAUCGGGACGAAAGGCCUUCUUGCGAAUAGUGAGAAGGAUUGACGGUACCGGAAUAGAAAGCCACGGCUAACUACGU